rnacentral:rRNA from 1 species
UCAAAGAUUAAGCCAUGCAUGUCUAAGUAUAAGCAAUUAUACAGCGAAACUGCGAAUGGCUCAUUAUAUAAGUUAUCGUUUAUUUGAUAGUACCUUACUACUUGGAUAACCGUGGUAAUUCUAGAGCUAAUACAUGCUGAAAAUCCCGACUUCGGAAGGGAUGUAUUUAUUAGAUUAAAAACCAAUGCCCUCUGGGCUCCUUGGUGAUUCAUAAUAACUUUUCGAAUCGCAUGGCCUUGCGCCGGCGAUGGUUCAUUCAAAUUUCUUCCCUAUCAACUUUCGAUGUUUGGGUAUUGGCCAAACAUGGUCGCAACGGGUAACGGAGGGUUAGGGCUCGACCCCGGAGAAGGAGCCUGAGAAACGGCUACUACAU